AGGAUUAACGCUGGCGGCGUGCCUAACACAUGCAAGUCGAACGAGGGGGGCAACCCCCGAGUGGCAGACGGGUGAGUAACGCGUGGUCAACCUACCCUAGAGUGGGGAAUAACUAGCCGAAAGGUUAGCUAAUACCGCAUGAUACGUUUUGGGACAUCCCAGGACGUUGAAAGGAGCAAUCCGCUCGAGGACGGGACCGCGUCCGAUUAGCUAGUUGGUGAGGUAACGGCCCACCAAGGCUCCGAUCGGUAGCUGGUUUGAGAGAGCGACCAGCCACACUGGGACUGAGAAACGGCCCAGACUCCUACGGGAGGCAGCAGUGAGGAAUUUUCCGCAAUGGGCGAAAGCCUGACGGAGCGACGCCGCGUGUGGGAAGAAGGCCUUCGGGUCGUAAACCACUGUCGAAGGGGACUAUACUGAAGGUACCCUUGGAGGAAGCCCCGGCUAACUACGUGCCAGUAGCCGC
rnacentral:rRNA from 1 species